GGACUCACAUUAUGUCCUUCAGGUUGGAACAGGCCUGGCUGAGACUGACUACACUGAUAAUAUAGUAGGUUGGACUCACAUUAUGUCCUUCAGGUUGGAACAGGCCUGGCUGAGACUGACUACACUGAUAAUAUAGUAGGUUGGACUCACAUUAUGUCCUUCAGGUUGGAACAGGCCUGGCUGAGACUGACUACACUGAUAAUAUAGUAGGUUGGACUCACAUUAUGUCCUUCAGGUUGGAACAGGCCUGGCUGAGACUGACUACACUGAUAAUAUAGUAGGUUGGACUCACAUUAUGUCCUUCAGGUUGGAACAGGCCUGGCUGAGACUGACUACACUGAUAAUAUAGUAGGUUGGACUCACAUUAUGUCCUUCAGGUUGGAACAGGCCUGGCUGAGACUGACUACACUGAUAAUAUAGUAGGUUGGACUCACAUUAUGUCCUUCAGGUUGGAACAGGCCUGGCUGAGACUGAC